ACGCUCGACACCUACAGGAGGCAGCAGUCGGGAAUAUUGCGCAAUGGAGGAAACUCUGACGCAGUGACGCCGCGUAUGGGAAGAAGGUUUUCGGAUUGUAAACCAUUUUAGACAAGGAAGAAACAAGACAGUACUUGUAGAAUAAGCUCCGGCUAACUACGUGCCAGCAGCCGCGGUAAUACUGAGGCGGGCGUGGCGAAGGACG
rnacentral:rRNA from 1 species